GAAUCCAGAUUUAUUCGAUUAGAACCCAUUGGGUCGGCUUUGAACCAAACGCGUUUAAAACCGUUCUUCAAUCUAUACCCUAUUGCCUGUUUCAGUUCAACUAUAACCCCACCCACCACUUGUGUCGUAGCACUCUUAACUGAAACCAGGUUUCUGGGAAGAGAGAAAUGGCCCUGAGGCAUCGUCUUACGAAGGAACUCUCGAAAUUUCUCUCUCCCGUUACUCAAGCAGGUGUCUGUUGUCCUCAAUCUAGCAAAGCUUUAAACUUAGUGGCUUGUCUGUGAUGCUGGUGCCUUCUGCUCGGAACCCAGCUGCUAAUUGGAAUCAAGUGAGAGAGUUUCAUGAACACAGGAUCUCAACAAUGGCUGUUAAAUUGCAUGAACCUGCCACUGAAAUUGAUCUUUUAUCUUCAUUAAGGCUUCACUGGAUGAAUUUGAAGGCACCCAUCAUUAUUGGUUAAAUAGAUCUGAAAAAAUUGACCAACUUUUUGGAGCCGAUGGGAUAUUUUUAGUUCUAGCUGCAAGUAAUUUCAAUUGUGACAUUACGCUUAAAAAAUUAAAGACAAUUCAAAAGAGGUUUCCUCAUAUUAACAUUAUUGGUUUGGGAGCAAUUCACUCUUCUUCUGAUCAAGUGCACCUAAUGCAGUUACUGAUGGAAGAAAAUAUAGCAUUCCCCAUUUUGUUGUCUCAGCAGACAUUUCCUAAGGAAGUAGUAAAUGUAUCACCCAACACAUCUGAGAAGUGGCACCCGACUUCAUCGUUGCAGAUGUGGGGGAUUCUUCUUCCAACUCCAUUUCCAUCCUACUUAUUAAAACUAGAUCAUUGUAGGUCUGUAGCAUGUUACUGUAUAUUAAUUAUGUGUUUGUCGUCAUCGUGCAGUGGUGGCAGAUUCUUCUUCCAACACCAUCUCCAUCCUACCCACUAAAACUAGAUGAUUGUAGGUGUGUCGCAUCUUACUACAUAUCAGUUAUGAGUCUAUGAUUAUCGUGUCUUUACAGAUGAAGUCAUAAACUAUAGGCUAAGGUUGCUGAUUGUUUUUAUUCUAAUGAUUCUUGUCAAACAGGCAUUCUUUUGUGAUUUACAAUCCUUAGGAACCAAUGUCAUAAGUUCCCCAAGGCUUCAUUCCAUAGGGUACUAGUUCACGGACUGAUGGGUUAGAGUGGUAUGCAGAGAACUUGCUAACUUGAUAUUUAUUUAUGUGCGAAAAUACAUAAUUUGCUCUUAUUCACUAUACAGUGACAGUGAGGAUGGAGGCUGAAUACAUGCAGAGCUGGAAAGAAUGCUUGUUUGUUGAGUGGCUCCUCCUACUGUCCUACAACUUUGGGGAUUUAGAAACUCAUCUGUGAUAGAGAAAGGUGCGGGCUACAUGUUGUUUAAAAAUUUUAGGAGCCCAGUAAUUUAUCAUGAGAAGGAUGCAAGUCUUGAAAUUUUAAGCCA